GUGUUAUAAGAAGUGGUUCAAGUGGAAAUAGCAACGUUGAAAAUCAAAGGGAGCCUUAUCUACAGAUAUGGCGUCGAAUAGACGACAAAACACAAAUUUUUCAGAAGAAGAAGAUCUAAAUCUUCCCACAGAAACAUCAGCACGGAGUGAAGAUAAUUUUAAGUGGACUCCUAACCGAGAAAUAAUAUUUCUUGAGUUGUACGAUCAAGCAAUUGCCAUGGGCAAUUAUAAAUUAUCGGUAUAUAAUUUAUCGUUGACAGGUUUAACAAGUUAAAUUAUCCUACACCCCUUGGUAUAUAAUUUAUAGUUGACAAGUUUAACGAGUUUAAUCUUAAUACAAAUUAUCGGUUCUUCAAAGAAAAACUUGAUCAACUAAAAAGAAAUACAAGCAUCUUAUGAAAGAUUCCACGGGCAUCUCGGUUGAUACUACUACAUCUGUGAUAUCGGCAUCUAACUCAUGGUGGCAAGAGCGUGAAGUAAG